GUUCAUAAUUUAUGUUGUAUUCAUUGUCAGUUACGCUAAUCAUUUAUCAGUAUUUAUUUAUAAACGGUAUUGUAAUACUUGUUGUUUCAGUUAUCUAAAUCAACUACGAAAAUAAAUUCAUCUAAAACAAUAAUAGUUAUUGUUACGAACGAAUAUAUUAUAUAAAAAAUUGAAAUAUUCAGUCAUUAUAACUGAAAGCAAAAUAAAAAAAUGAACCGAAAAGACUAAUACAAUCUUCGCAUAAUAUCGCGGCACUUUCUCUGGUGUCGCGCGACGCAGUGUCCAUACGAGUCCUCGGACGUCAAGAGAUUAGCAGUGAUGGUGCGCGAAUGCGGAUCGAUUUGUCGAAUCCGAUUGUGCGACACAUCCGGAGCCGGUGAAGUACAUCCUCGACGUCGUCAUUUUGAUGACGGGAAGAAAACUACGUAUAACAACAUUGCACUGCGGCGAAUAGCACAAGGUGUGGUCAGUCAAAUCAUCAAAUACGGUUGAUAAUGGUACCACGGGUCACCGUUGUCAAGAAACAACGCGGGACCGUAAAUCAAUUAAUGAAUAGCAUGGUUUUAGUACAGACAAGAUAAACCUUUUUGUCUUAUCUGUAUUUUUAGGCUUAAUAAAGAAACUAAUUUAUUUA